AGCGAACGCUGGCGGCAGGCUUAACACAUGCAAGUCGAGCGGACCUUUCGGGGUCAGCGGCGGACGGGUGAGUAACGCGUGGGAACGUGCCUUCCGGUUCGGAAUAACCCUGGGAAACUAGGGCUAAUACCGGAUACGCCCUUAUGGGGAAAGGUUUACUGCCGGAAGAUCGGCCCGCGUCUGAUUAGCUAGUUGGUGGGGUAACGGCCUACCAAGGCGACGAUCAGUAGCUGGUCUGAGAGGAUGAUCAGCCACACUGGGACUGAGACACGGCCCAGACUCCUACGGGAGGCAGCAGUGGGGAAUAUUGGACAAUGGGCGCAAGCCUGAUCCAGCCAUGCCGCGUGAGUGAUGAAGGCCGUAGGGUUGUAAAGCUCUUUUAUCCGGGACGAUAAUGACGGUACCGGAGGAAUAAGCCCCGGCUAACUUCGUG
rnacentral:rRNA from 1 species